GGUUUAUCAAAGUCUUCCGUCAUUAGUCUGCAAUACACCAAAGUAAAACCAGGUUUGAUUUUUGCUGUUUUUGGACUCGGGACUAUUGGUAUUGCAAUAAGUAUAUGUGUUUUUGUUUUGAUAUUGAUUAUUCUAAUCAUUCCAGUCUAACUUAACAGGUGGCUGAGGGUGCCAGAACAGCCUGUGCUUCACGAAUUGAUAAUUAAAAUUUUGAGCAAGGUUAGCUUUUUGAUAUCACAUAUAAUAUUAUUGCAGUUUUUGAUAUUGUGCUGAUAAAAAUGCUCUGUUCUGCAUGAUACAGAAUUUUAGCCUUCAGUACUUCAGAUUCACUCGUAAGCAAAUGAGGUAUUAAUUAAACAAUCCUCUUGACUGAUCAAUAUAGUAUAAACCUUUCAUAGGUGAAUUAUAUUGUGUCGAGUUUAAUGGAUGUUUAUCUAUAUGUCAGCAUAAAUAAUGGACUAUAUAAAUAUUAUUAGUUACUAUGAGGUGAGAUAGGAAAGUAUAUUUGCUCCUGUUUUUCUAUUAUUCUCCAUGUUCUGCUUGAGUGUGGAUUUCUUUUGAUAAUUGUGUUUAUGUGACAUAAGUUUGAUGGAUUGUUUGGGGUUUUUUAAAUCUACUUAUAUACAUUAAAGCAUAACCAAGGGCUUAAUAUGUUAAGAAAUUGGAUGAAAAAUUAUAUAAAAACCCUUACGCGAUAUCAAAUUGCAAUCGUGCAAUCAUUUCACCAUGUUUUAUCUAUGCAGAAUCUUUUGUUCAUCAUCGCGCAGCAAAACCUAAAAGGGAGCGUCAUGGAGAGAUCAAGUGAUUAGGUUCCGACAUAAAUAAGUUUUGUUCAGCUGUUGUUCAAUUUGGGUUCUGCCAUGUUCUUUGGUUUUUGCGAAGUAGAGUCAGUUUCCGUAUUCUAUUACGAAUAGAAGAAACAACCUGAAGGGGUGAGACAAAUCCUACAGAGGCAGG
rnacentral:lncRNA from 1 species